GCCGCCCACAUCUACGAAGCCAAUUUUGACGCGGCUCGCCCUAGCUGGUGGCGCAGAGUAGGAGCUCCGCGCCCUACUCCCAUUCAUCGGCCGCUGGCUGCGGUGGAGCAGCUUGGCCCUCUCCCAUCCCUUCGAAGGCGGUUGGUGGCGUGGAGAAGAACUGCUAGGCCGGGCCACCGCGGAAUGUCACCAGAGGCCGGCACCUACGCUCGAAGGACCAAGAACGAGUUUCUCUUCCGUUCCUACGAGGGGAUGCUGAAUCGGUGCGCAUCGUGUCCAUCUGCCUCGCCUCCUCUGUCGCUACAUUGGCUUUGUGCUGUUGCCUGUUGGAGUCUUGGAGAUGCCAACAUCGUGGAGCAGCAACGAAGGGGCAAUACACCUAAGAGCAUUGGCAGAUCGGGAGGGGUGGUUGUCGUGGUUGUGGCGGUUGGUUGGUGUGCCGGUCGGCGAAGGGAAGAGCAGCAGCGCCUGGCAGCCGGAGGCCAAUUUUCAGUUGGAGGAACAUGGGGUGAUGGAGGUGGCUGAUGUUCAAGUCGGACGGUUUCUUUGAUUUAGACCCAUCAGACAAAACUCAGGACAAAUGUGGUGAUCUCGCAGAGGCAAAGUAAUCCGAAAGCAAAGCUACAUGCUAAGAAGCCUACAAUUGAUUCAUGGUGUAACACCGGCGCAAGAUGCCCAGGGAGAAGCUGCAUCCGUCUUCGUGUGGCGGCUAGAAUUGCCUGAUCAAUCUGCUGUCAGUAGUCCAGUUCAUCUCAUAAUCCAAAUUAUUAUGGCCGUUUCAGUCUCAAGGAAGACUUGCCUCAGCUGAUUAUGGCAACGUGUAUCAGUGUACGUGUCUCUUAUGGAUCACACAAUCAAGUAGAAGAGAGGAGGAACUCAACAUUUACAUAAUCAUUAAACAAAGAGGAUAUCGCAGGGCUGUGUAAUAAAAGGAGUUUCCCAAACGUGGAAUCAGAGAUUUGUGUGGCUGCAAAUGUAUUUUAUGGAUUCGGCCUACUGCAAUUCCUCUAAACGGAGGUGGUUUUCUAUGGGCCUUUGUUUUUUAUUUAGCAUCCAUGUUUAUUUGUACUGUUACAUGUAGGUGUUUCUUGGAUAACUGUUUCUUCGUUCCUGCAUAUGAAUGUCAUGUCAGAGUAUUUCUCAGUAUUGCAGUAUACCCAUUGGAUUUUUCCUAACUCUUUAAGAACAAUGAACCUACACUUCAUCUCGAUCAGGGUGAUAGGGGAUGCACCGAUGCACACUACCCAUUUGCAGUUUUUGAUAUUUGAUUAUGUCCAGGUCCCACCAAGGUAGCAUAAAUGUGUGUGUUCACAUCACUGCUGUUGUAAUGUGUGUUCACCUUCUUUCGGUAUGCCCUUCUGCAAUCAGUUAUCUUGUGUCCAAGUUAAUUACCACUUAUUUUUGUGCCUUACUUGGGUAAAGCUAUAUGCCGUUCAAUCUCAACACAAGAGCAUGCGUCCAGCCGGUAUAAAUAGAAGGACACGAUUAGCAUAGAAACCUAUCACAGAAAUGCAGCCUUCGUAUUAUUACCGGACUAUAUUUCUGUGUCUCUCUAAUGCCUAUAUUUACUUGAUCUUUAAGAUUAAAUUUUUAUACAACUAAUUUCAAUGUAUGCGGUAUCCAUCUCCAUUGCCAACCGUCUUAAAACUUAAACAUAAAAAUUUACUUACAUCAAUUCAAAAUAUGUUUUAUAAAUAUUAUAGCCAUCAUAUUACACAUUUGGCGCGGCGUGCCGCCGCGCCCAUCCGUUGCUAGUUAGUAUAAGAUGAGGUUGUUGUGGGGAGAGAAAAAAAAUGACAAUGCGUGAGACGCUGCAACGCGCGGGCACUUUGCUAGUCAUAUCUAAUAUAUUAACGCAUAUAAGCAUUUGAAUGUGUUGUCAACUUGUGAAUAUUCAAAUGUGUUGUGAAUUUGUGGAGAUUGGUAUGUGUUGUGAACGUGUAAUUUGUUUUGCGAAUAGAACCCUGGUACUAGGAGAAACAUCAAAGUGAGUACAAAUCACCUCAACAAAAACGAAAAUUGCAUUGAAAUUCUUUAGAUGCCCUUCAUCUUCAACCUCCACAGCGUGUCGGCUACGCGUUGCAGUUGUUGCAGACGGAAAGUCGCCGAAUGGGUCAAGAAGACCACAAUGUCCUCAGAGACGAAGAAGAAUGAAUAACUACAGUUGUUGCAGACGGAAAGUCGCCGAAUGGGUCAAGAAGACCACAAUGUCCUCAGAGACGAAGAAGAAUGAAUAACUACGCUCCAUCAAGAUCCGGAGAUCCCCCAGCCAGAAGAAGUCAUCGGGAACCACACCAUUCCCACGAGCUUCUCGAUGUCGUAGUCAAUAUGUGGAUGACUCCGGGGAGACUUUAAUGGAGAAGACGCCGCUGAUGAGGGCCAAGUUCCACCCCGCCUCCAUGGCCCAAAGGCCACAGAAAAGAUGCAGAUCGCCCGACCGACGACACCGACGAGAGGCGAAGAAACCCUAAUCGCCCCCUGAGCAUUUCACAUGGGCAAAAGGGAUACAUGACGGAGCAUUUUUUUUCCUAUUGCUACUCGGCUGCUUCGACAAGCCGCUGAUCAAAUCCAAGGUUUUUAAACGUGUAAUAUAUUGUAUCCGUG